ensembl:lncRNA
CUUUGAUGGUGUGAUGGCUUUGAAAAGUUUAAUUUUCUUAAUGCCUUUAUUCCACGAGUAGCAUACAGCACUGCCUCAGUGCAUUGCUGGCUCUCAGUACAAACCUGUUGCUGCUCCCUUUUGGCAUGAGGAGAGCAGCAUUAUGUGCCCCAGAGCUCUGCCACUGUGCUCUCCAAACAGAGAGGUCUGUGCAAUGCCUGCCAUGUAGAAACACACAGAGAAGUGGCCAGCAAGGUGCCAGGAUGGAAAAAUGAACUCAUUUUCCAGGACCCACGCCAAGUCUCUAGAUCCCUUGCCCCUUGGGGCAGUGUGGAGGAGAAGAUCUGGUAUGCCAGCUGUUGACGGAAUGACUUCUUCUGGUCCAGGUUCCUGGUUCACCACAGAGGAUGCAAUGAGGAAACCAGUGCAUUCGAAGCCACCUAUGUCACUGGGUAUGUACACGAGCAUGUACAAGAAGGAGUACAAAUGGCCUGAGGAAAGCAAACCACCCACUGAGGAGGACGUGAAGAAGCUCAGAGCCAAGGAGUUUGCCGUGCCCCAGGAGCCACAGGCAAUGCCAUACUAUGACAAAGCUCUCGGGGAAGGGAGAGAAGUCAAACAAAUUGAGAAGCAAGAAGGCAUUACCCUCAGUCCCAGAGUGCUGCAGCAGGCUCAUGAAGAGCAGAGAAAGCACUUCGGUUCAGACCUCCCCCUUGCAGAAAGCCAUGCACCAAAGCAGUACCUCACCACUGAACUGACAGCAACCCAGGCGGACAGACCAGAGAGGCCACAGGCUCCCAGUGGGCUGGAAAAGGGACUAUCUUCUUCCCAGCAUCUUCAAGCCGCUGUUGGUGGCCCAGGAGCAACAGGGAUGUUGCUAUAUAGGCAGAAGCUGGAUCCCACCUGGGGUACCUACCAGCACUUCAUGCUGGAGGCAGGCCAGGCCCUGCAAGAUGAGGCUCAGCAGAACAAGAAUGUGGCCCUGGCCUCGUCAGUUUUGGUGAAAGAGUGCUUUGACCAUGACCGGAGAAGUACCUACAGCAUCGACUUCCAGCACCAGCCUGCAGCCUACACUGGAAGCUGUAUAGCAAAUAAGAAUCUAUCUCACAUUUUCACUGAAGCUGAACACUUCCACCAGAACCGCUGGGUGUCUGAAUACAAGGACAACUACAGCAUUUGCUUGCAGAAGCUGAAUUGGGCAUCUCAAGGCCGCACUGCAGAGCUUGGCUCUGCCUUGAAGCCCCAGGGGCUGUCCUCCCAGAGUGAGGUUGCACCAGGCACAGCCCAAUGAGCGCUGCUCCACGCUCCCUGUUCUCCAAGCUGAGGGAUAUUUUCCAUCAGAGAUCCUGGAAGCCUGGAAACCUCUAUUCCAAACCCACCAUUACCAAAUACUUUUAAAGUGUUCAGCAGAAACCUUUUUACACACAUAUUUCAUGAAGAAACCUGAGCUUUUCUCAUUGUCAGAAAUAAAAAGUGUUUUUUGGACA